AAUAGAUACCCAGGUAGUCCACGCCGUAAACGAUGAGUGCUAAGUGUUAGAGGGUUUCCGCCCUUUAGUGCUGCAGCUAACGCAUUAAGCACUCCGCCUGGGGAGUACGGUCGCAAGACUGAAACUCAAAAGAAUUGACGGGGGCCCGCACAAGCGGUGGAGCAUGUGGUUUAAUUCGAAGCAACGCGAAGAACCUUACCAGGUCUUGACAUCCUCUGACAACUCUAGAGAUAGAGCGUUCCCCUUCGGGGGACAGAGUGACAGGUGGUGCAUGGUUGUCGUCAGCUCGUGUCGUGAGAUGUUGGGUUAAGUCCCGCAACGAGCGCAACCCUUGAUCUUAGUUGCCAGCAUUUAGUUGGGCACUCUAAGGUGACUGCCGGUGACAAACCGGAGGAAGGUGGGGAUGACGUCAAAUCAUCAUGCCCCUUAUGACCUGGGCUACACACGUGCUACAAUGGAUGGUACAAAGGGCUGCAAGACCGCGAGGUCAAGCCAAUCCCAUAAAACCAUUCUCAGUUCGGA
rnacentral:rRNA from 1 species